rnacentral:rRNA from 1 species
UGGGGAAUCUUGGACAAUGGGGGCAACCCUGAUCCAGCCAUGCCGCGUGAGUGAUGAAGGCCUUAGGGUCGUAAAGCUCUUUCGCCUGUGAAGAUAAUGACGGUAGCAGGUAAAGAAACCCCGGCUAACUCCGUGCCAGCAGCCGCGGUAAUACGGAGGGGGUUAGCGUUGUUCGGAAUUACUGGGCGUAAAGCGCACGUAGGCGGACCAGAAAGUUGGGGGGUGAAAUCCCGGGGGGCUCAACCCCCGGAACUGCCUCCAAAACUAUUGGUCUAGAGUUCGAGAGAGGUGAGUGGAAUUCCAAGUGUAGAGGUGAAAUUCGUAGAUAUUUGGAGGAACACCAGUGGCGAAGGCGGCUCACUGGCUCGAUACUGACGCUGAGGUGCGAAAGUGUGGGGAGCAAACAGGAUUAGAUACCCCUGGUAGUCCACACCGUAAAACGAUGAAUGCCAGUCGUCGGGGUAGCAUGCUAUUCGGUGACACACCUAACGGAUUAAGCAUUCCGGCCUGGGGAGUACGGUCGCAAGAUU